rnacentral:lncRNA from 1 species
GUGGUCGUGUGGUCUAGCGGGACGGCUGCAUUGCAGGCGAUUUGGUGUCACGAUAUCACAGUAGCAUGGGUUAGAAUCCCGGCGAGGGAAGAACCAACAAAUUUGCGAAAGCAAAUUUACAGAUCUAACAUUGUUGGGUUGAUAUUUAGACGAGUUGUAUAUACAUUAUGUACACAGCCAUGUAUCACCAUCAUUGAUGGCGAUCCGAUGGAUACAUCUGUUGUAGAGUUGUCACUGACUCAGACG